AGCGAACAUUGGCGGUAGGCUUAACACAUGCAAGUCGAGCGAGGCGUAAUAGUCGAGCGGCGAACGGGUGAGUAAUACAUGGGAAUCUACCCUGAAGUGGGGGAUAACGUUCAGAAAUGGACGCUAAUACCGCAUAAUCCGCAUUGGGAAAGCGCGCUGCGCUUUAGGAUGAGCCCAUGGCUGAUUAGCUUGUUGGUGAGGUAACGGCUCACCAAGGCGACGAUCAGUAGCUGGUCUGAGAGGAUGAUCAACCACACUGGCACUGAGACACGGUCCCGACUCCUACGGGAGGCAGCAGUGGGGAAUCUUGCGCAAUGGGGGCAACCCUGACGCAGCCAUACCGCGUGUGCGAUGAAGGUCUUCGGAUUGUAAAGCACUUUCAGCAGGGACGACGAUGACGGUACCUGCAGAAGAAGUCACGGCUAACUUCGUGCCAGCCGCCGCCGUAA
rnacentral:rRNA from 1 species